rnacentral:rRNA from 1 species
AUAUCACGAAGAACUCCGAUUGCGAAGGCAGCUCACUGGACUGCAACUGACACUGAUGCUCGAAAGUGUGGGUAUCAAACAGGAUUAGAUACCCUGGUAGUCCACACAGUAAACGAUGAAUACUCGCUGUUUGCGAUAUACAGUAAGCGGCCAAGCGAAAGCAUUAAGUAUUCCACCUGGGGAGUACGCCGGCAACGGUGAAACUCAAAGGAAUUGACGGGGGCCCGCACAAGCGGAGGAACAUGUGGUUUAAUUCGAUGAUACGCGAGGAACCUUACCCGGGCUUAAAUUGCAGUGGAAUGAUGUGGAAACAUGUCAGUGAGCAAUCACCGCUGUGAAGGUGCUGCAUGGUUGUCGUCAGCUCGUGCCGUGAGGUGUCGGCUUAAGUGCCAUAACGAGCGCAACCCUUAUCUUCAGUUACUAACAGGUCAUGCUGAGGACUCUGGAGAGACUGCCGUCGUAAGAUGUGAGGAAGGUGGGGAUGACGUCAAAUCAGCACGGCCCUUACGUCCGGGGCUACACACGUGUUACAAUGGGGGGUACAGAAGGCAGCUAGCGGGUGACCGUAUGCUAAUCCCAAAAUCCUCUCUCAGUUCGGAUCGAAGUCUGCAACCCGACUUCGUGAAGCUGGAUUCGCUAGUAAUCGCGCAUCAGCCACGGCGCGGUGAAUACGUUCCCGGGCCUUGUACACACCGCCCGUCAAGCCAUGGGAGCCGGNNNNACCUGAAGUACGUAACCGCAAGGAUCGUCCUAGGGUAAAACUGGUGACGGGGGCUAAGUCGUAACAAGGUAACC